GCCACGGCCUGGUAAAAUUUUCUUUGAUGU
rnacentral:piRNA from 1 species